ACGCUGGCGGCGUGCUUAACACAUGCAAGUCGUGCGAGGACAGAUUGGAAAGUUUCGGACCGGAAGGAUCUGUCCGAGCGGCGGACGGGUGGGUAACGCGUGAGCAAUCUGCCUUCGACAGGGGGAUAACGCAUCGAAAGAUGUGCUAAUACCGCGUAAGACCACAGUGUCGCAUGGCACAGAGGUCAAAGGAGCAAUCCGGUCGAAGAUGAGCUCGCGUCCGAUUAGCCAGUUGGCGGGUAACGGCCCACCAAAGCGACGAUCGGUAGCCGACCUGAGAGGGUGAUCGGCCACAUUGGAACUGAGACACGGUCCAGACUCCUACGGGAGGCAGCAGUGGGGAAUAUUGGGCAAUGGGCGAAAGCCUGACCCAGCAACGCCGCGUGAGGGAAGAAGGGUUUCGGCUCGUAAACCUCUGUCCUAAAGGGCGAAGUAAGUGACGGUACUUUAGGAGGAAGCCCCGGCUAACUACGUGCCAGCCGCCGC
rnacentral:rRNA from 1 species